rnacentral:rRNA from 1 species
GACGAACGCUGGCGGCGUGCUUAACACAUGCAAGUCGAACGGAAAGGCCCUGCUUUUGUGGGGUGCUCGAGUGGCGAACGGGUGAGUAACACGUGAGUAACCUGCCCUUGACUUUGGGAUAACUUCAGGAAACUGGGGCUAAUACCGGAUAGGAGCUCCUGCUGCAUGGUGGGGGUUGGAAAGUUUCGGCGGUUGGGGAUGUACUCGCGGCUUAUCAGCUUGUUGGUGGGGUAGUGGCUUACCAAGGCCUUGACGGGUAGCCGGCCUGAGAGGGUGACCGGCCACAUUGGGACUGAGAUACGGCCCAGACUCCUACGGGAGGCAGCAGUGGGGAAUAUUGCACAAUGGGCGGAAGCCUGAUGCAGCAACGCCGCGUGCGGGAUGACGGCCUUCGGGUUGUAAACCGCUUUCGCCUGUGACGAAGCGUGAGUGACGGUAAUGGGUAAAGAAGCACCGGCUAACUACGUG